rnacentral:rRNA from 1 species
CAGCCGCCGCGGUAAUACGGAGGGUGCGAGCGUUAAUCGGAAUUACUGGGCGUAAAGCGUACGCAGGCGGUUUGUUAAGUCAGAUGUGAAAUCCCCGAGCUUAACUCGGGAACUGCAUUUGAAACUGGCAGGCUAGAGUCUCGUGGAGGGGGGUAGAAUUCCAGGUGUAGCGGUGAAAUGCGUAGAGAUCUGGAGGAAUACCGGUGGCAAAAGCGGCCCCCUGGACGAAGACUGACGCUCAGGUACGAAAGCGUGGGGAGCAAACAGGAUUAGAUACCCCUGUAGUCCCUGUCUCUUAUAC